rnacentral:rRNA from 1 species
AUGAACGCUGGCGGCGUGCCUAAUACAUGCAAGUCGAGCGAACAGAUGAGGAGCUUGCUCCUCUGACGUUAGCGGCGGACGGGUGAGUAACACGUGGAUAACCUACCUAUAAGACUGGGAUAACUUCGGGAAACCGGAGCUAAUACCGGAUAAUAUAUUGAACCGCAUGGUUCAAUAGUGAAAGACGGUUUUGCUGUCACUUAUAGAUGGAUCCGCGCCGCAUUAGCUAGUUGGUAAGGUAACGGCUUACCAAGGCAACGAUGCGUAGCCGACCUGAGAGGGUGAUCGGCCACACUGGAACUGAGACACGGUCCAGACUCCUACGGGAGGCAGCAGUAGGGAAUCUUCCGCAAUGGGCGAAAGCCUGACGGAGCAACGCCGCGUGAGUGAUGAAGGUCUUCGGAUCGUAAAACUCUGUUAUUAGGGAAGAACAAAUGUGUAAGUAACUAUGCACGUCUUGACGGUACCUAAUCAGAAAGUCACGGCUAACUACGUG